rnacentral:rRNA from 1 species
CCUACGGGUGGCAGCAGUGGGGAAUAUUGCGCAAUGGGCGAAAGCCUGACGCAGCGACGCCGCGUGAGGGAUGAAUGUCUUCGGAUCGUAAACCUCUGUCAGCAGGGAAGAACGGUCACUGUGCUAAGCAGCAGUGAAUUGACGGUACCUGCAAAGGAAGCACCGGCUAACUCCGUGCCAGCAGCCGCGGUAAUACGGCGGGUGCGAGCGUUAAUCGGAAUUACUGGGAGUAAAGCGCUCGUAGGCGGUAUGUCAAGUCAAGGGUGAAAGCCCCGGGCUCAAGGUGGGAACUGCCUUUGAAACUGGCAAACUUGAGUGUGUGAGAGGAUAGUGGAAUUCGAGGUGUAGGAGUGAAAUCCGUAGAUAUCUGGAGGAACAUCAGUGGCGAAGGCGACUAUCUGGCACAUAACUGACGCUGAGGAGCGAAAGCGUGGGUAGCAAACAGGAUUAGAUACCCUGGUAGUC